AUUUUUUGUAGCAACAGGGAAACUCAGAUUCUAAAGAGACAUGAUGAUCAUGUCCAGAAAAUUUGACAGUGUGUACCUGUGGUGGUGAGAGUGCUUGGCGCACUACCAGACACAUGGGCCCCAUCAUCAUUUCCUCCACCACAUUCUCCUUUCAACCUACUCUCCCUCUCCUUUUCUCCUCCCCUAAGCUUGCUCUUUCUCUCCCUUCAAUACCCAAAUAAUUCUCUGUGCAAACGUUUUCUUUAAACCUUUCUUGAAUCUUAAAAAUUCUAACUGCCUCUUUCUUGUUUGACGAUGGAAGGUGGUCUUGGUUUACUUGGUAUAAGUGGUGGUGCUGGUGGUGGCUCUUCUGGGGCCUCAACAAACGAGUCUACUGUGUCAAAGGUGGAGGUUGUAGAUGCUGAGGCUAGUUCAUAUCCAAUAGAGGCUGAGCUAGAGCUGGGUCUGGGUCUGAGUAUUGGCGGUGGCAGUGGAGGGAAAGGCAAGGCAAGCGCAUGGGGCGAGUGUGGGAGAAUCCUGACUGCCAAAGAUUUUCCUUCUCUGGUCUCUCAGCCUCAUAGAGGUCAUAAUAAUAAUACUAAUGCUACAGCUUCUGCUUGUGUUGCUGUUUCUGGGACUAAAAGAGCUGCUGAGCCUGUUUCCCAUGAAGGUGGAUCCCCUACUUCUGUCAGUAAAUUGCUUUGUGGGAGCAGUCAGGUUGUGGGGUGGCCUCCUAUAAGGGCUUAUAGGAUUAAUAGCUUGGUGAACCAAGCCAAGGCUUCAAGAUCUGAAGAAGAUAAGUCUUUUGGUGAAAAAGAUAAAUCUAAUGAUGCUUCCAAGAAAAUUUGCAAUGGUAACAAGACCAAUGCUACUGGUAAUGAGAAAGGGCAUCUUGGAUUUGUUAAGGUGAAUAUGGAUGGGGUUCCAAUUGGAAGGAAGGUGGAUUUGAAUGCUCAUACUUCCUAUGAGACACUUGCACAAACACUUGAAGAAAUGUUUUUCAGGUCCACGCCACCCGUCAGUUCGAUGGGUGGAGAGAAGCAACAAUCAGCAAAUCUCUCUAAUCUCUUGGAUGGCUUAUCUGAGUUUGUGCUAACUUACGAAGAUAAAGAGGGAGAUUGGAUGCUCGUCGGUGAUGUUCCAUGGGGGAUGUUCCUAAGCUCCGUUAAAAGGCUCCGAAUCAUGAGAACUUCAGAAGCUAAUGGGCUUGGUCCAAGAUUCCAAGACAGGAAUGGAAUACAAAUAAGCAAGCCUGUUUAGGAUCACUUCUGCCCCAUCAUUUUCAACUCCAGAAAGAUGAAACUCAUAGUUUGAAAAGAAAGACAGUAGAGAAAGUUGAUGAAUUAGAACGUUCCACUGAGAUUGCAUUUUCACUGCUUUUUUUUUUUUUAACCAUUAUCUGGUUUUCUUUACCUAUGUGGGCGAUAAUUCACUUAGUUUCUCUCUUAUACAGUGCUUUUGCACACUUGACUGCUGCUUUCUCAUACUGUAAAUAUGGGAGUACUUGAUAUUUAGAGUGGAGUUUGCUGCAAUCUAGUGGACUAUCAGUUUUAGUGUUUGGUGUGAUACUGAUGUCUGAAAAUUUCUCGUUGUGUCCGUUUUCUUUUAUAUAUUUUUAAGUGUGCAGCUUCCAGCUCGGCACAAUUGAAUUGAUUGUACCUGAACAAUCGUUUUCUAGUUAUUAAUCUAACCUUCAAUUUCAGCAUUAA
rnacentral:misc_RNA from 1 species